CCAUCCCAGAAAGAUGAAGUAAUUCAGUGGCUAGCCAAACUCAAGUACCAGUUCAACCUAUACCCAGAAACAUUUGCUUGGGCUAGCAGUCUUUUGGACAGGUUUUUAGCUACUGUAAAGGCCCACCCAAAAUACUUGAGUUGUAUUGCAAUUAGUUGCUUUUUCCUGGCUGCCAAGACUGUUGAAGAGGAUGAGAAAAUUCCAGUACUGAAGGUAUUGGCAAGAGACAGUUUCUGUGGAUGUUCCUCUUCUGAGAUUUUGAGAAUGGAGAGAAUUAUUCUGGAUAAAUUGAAUUGGGAUCUUCACACAGCCACACCAUUGGAUUUUCUUCACAUUUUCCAUGCCAUUGCAGUGUCAACUAGGCCUCAGUUACUUUUCAGUUUGCCCACAUUGAGCCCAUCUCAGCAUUUGGCCAUCCUCACCAAACAGCUGCUUCACUGUAUGGCCUGUAGCCAACUUCUGCAGUUUAAAGGAUCCAUGCUUGCCCUGGCCAUGGUUAGCUUGGAAAUGGAGAAACUCAUUCCUGACUGGCUUCCUCUUACAAUUGAACUGCUUCAGAAAGCACAGAUGGAGAGCUCCCAGUUGAUCCACUGUCGAGAGCGGGUGGCACAUCACCUUUCUACUCCGCAGUCUUCCCUGCUUCUAAAUUCCGUGUAUGUCUACUGUUCCCUCAAGCACACCCUGGUAACCUGUGACAAAGGAGCAUUCAGAUUACAUCCCUCCUCUGUCUCAGGCCCAGAUUUCUCCAAGGAGAACAGCAAGCCAGAAGUGCCAGUGAGAGGUACAGCAGCCUUCUACCAUUCUCUCCCAGCUGCUGGUGGGUGCAAGCACCCCUCUGCUAAACGCAAAGUGGAGGAAAUGGAAGUAGAUGACUUCUAUGAUGGGAUCAAACGACUCUAUAAUGAAGACAGUGCUGCAGAAAGUGUAGGUCCUGUGUUUGGCACAGAUUUAUCAAGGCAACCCGAGCUGGUGGAGGACACGCAGAGGGUGGACUCACUCUCCUCCUACUGGCCCCACAGACCGGGGCUGGUGGAGGACACCCAGAGCGUGGACUCACUCUCCUCCUACUGGCUCCACAGACCCGGGGCAAUGGAGGACACGCAGAGCGUGGACUCACUGUGCUACUGGCGCCAGGAAAGCCGGGCAAUGGAGAACUCGAAAAGCGCGGACUCACUCUGCUCCUACAGGAGCCGCGGACCUGGAGCAACGGAGGAGACACAGACCGCGGACUCGCUCUCGUCCUACAAGCGCCCUCCACUCGGGUCAGUGGAGAAUGCACAGAGUGCGGACUCACUUUUCUACUGUGGCCGUGGACCGGGGGCAGUGGAGUGGGCGCAGAGCGCGGACUCGCUGGCCUCUUACAGGCGCCGCGAACCUGGGGCAGUGGAGAACGCGCCAAGCGCGGACUCGCUCUCCUGCUGCAAGCGCCCUCCCCCUGGGGCAGGGGAGAAUGCGCAGAGCGCGGGCUCACUCCUCUAUUGUGGCCGCGGACCCGGGGCAAUGGAGGGGACCCAGAGCGCGGACUCGCUCUUAUCCUCCAAGAGCACUGGACCUGGGGCAGUGGAGAAUGCGCAGAGCGGGGACACACUCUCCUACUGGCAGGGCCGACCUGGGGCAAUGGACGAAGCGCAGAGCGCGGACUCGCUCUCCUACUGCUCCUACUGGCGUCGCGGACCCGGGGCGACAGAGGUUACGCAGACCGCGGACAUGCGCGGACCCGGGGCAAUGGAGGACAUGCAGAGCAUAGACUCGCUCUCCUCCUACUGGCGCGGGCGCCCAGGGGCAAUGGAGGGGGCGCAGAGCGCAGACUCCCUCUCCUACUGGCGCCGCCCAGCUGUGGAGCAUAGGCUGAGCACGGACUCACUGACCUCCUACUGUCCCCGCUGA